rnacentral:lncRNA from 1 species
GGCCGCACUUGUGGUUUCUAAGUCCCUGGGCCUGCUGGUAGCUCUUCUGCUUUGGUCCAUUCUCCAUUUGACUCUGUGUUUCAGUCUGAGGACACAACCGUAUGCCCACUGCAAAGUGUACUUAGAUACUUAGCUGUUCAAAGCAAUGAGAGCAAAAGCUUCCAAAGUGAUUUAUUUGGGAGUCUGACUUGAGGCUUAGCCUGAAGUUCUUUUUAGCUCUAGGUAUACAGGUAGGGGUCACAAGGCGUUCCUCAAUGUAUAAAACAAAAGCGACCUAUUUUCUCCAUCCACCAGGAAGGUCCAAAGGAACCAGUAAGGUCCAAUACAGAUGAAGCCAUCAUCCCCCGAGGAACAGGCAACCUGCCCAUUCAAGUUGCUUGCAAAAGAGGAAGAAUGUGAAGCAUUUAGAAAAUCUGAAAUGCAUUCUGUCAGACACUCAAAUGAAACUUUAUGCAACAGUAAAAACACCAGAUGGUGAACGGCCCCUGAUGUGCGGCAACAGGAAUGUCUAGGGAAAUUAUUACCAGACAGAGACCUGUAGGGUCCUACACUUUCCUAGCCCAGUGCUUCUCGCUGGGGCUCCGCGACUCCAGCAGCAUGCAGCGGUGCCAGCUGUCUCCUUCAUCCAUUGACCGCAGACCCACGAAAGCCUGUCUGGCCAAAUGUAACUUCAGAAGUCAUUGGCUUACCACAGCAGUUCAUGAACUUGUCAGGGCUCCCUACAUCAUCCAGUCAUCUCACUUUGGACUCCGUGGGUUUUGGUUUGUUGCCUCCGACCUCUGGAGCACCUUUCUCUCCUUCCCAUUCAGAAACAGCCUCCCUGGCCUUCAGAAGUCUCUCACAGCUCCCCUGCGUCCAAGAAGCCAUCCUGGAGAAUCAGUGCUACCUCCGAGAUGGCACACACCCAGGACCUGGGUCCCCUUGCCUAGUGGAGAACCUCAAAGGGAACCAGUGCAGGGGUGUGCUGAUUAGCCGUGGUCCUGGCAUACUGGGCAUCCCACACGAGCACAAGGGCCAGCCCCGUGGCUGCCUCCCUGGACCUGUCUCUCUACAGGUGAGAAACAAGAGCACAUGGCAGUUUGACAUGGUUUUUUUUUUUUUCUUCUUGGAAGAUAUGCCAUGGCUCCUGGGGUCUUUAAGACAUAGGACUAUGCUCCUUCCUCCCCCAGGACAGAAAAGCUGCAGAACUCUUUCCCAAGAGCCACAGGGACCAUUACUGGAGCCCAGAAAUAAGAAAACCUAUUUAGUUUUAGCCCAACUUAGUAAAACAAACAAACAAAAAACCCAUCUAUCCCUAAUACUAGUUAACAUCAUCAUUUUCUAUUUUCUUACCCUCCUUUUGCUAAGCAGAACAGGUUAAGCAUGGUUCACAGAGGAUGUGACAGUACUAGAUACAGUUCUUUCUAAUUUUAAAUGCUUUAAGAAGUAGGACUUGUGACAAGAAAACACAAAGAACUACAAUGAUGGGGAAAAAAGAAUGGCCCAAAUGUUGACCCUGACAGACAGCUUUCAAGGGAAUCCAUACGUCCACUCCACACCCUCCCCUGCUCAAGAUGCACACAACUAGUUAAAAGCAAAACAAAACACGUAUCUAAUAAAAAUGGCUUCACAGGGCAGAAAUGACCAAUCUAUACUAUCCCCCCCACGAUACUAGUCAGGAAACAGAUAUUCUAAUAAUAUCAGUUUAUUUUAUUUAUUUUAUUUUUGGCUUUUUAGGACCGCACUCUCAGCAUAUAGAAGUUUCCAGGCUAGGGGUCGAAUCAGAGCUGUAGCCUCCAGCCUACACCACGGCCACAAUCACGGUCACACCACAUCCAAGCUGCACCUGCAACCUAUACCACAGCUCACGGCAACGCCGGAUCCUUAACCCACUGAGCGAGGCCAGGGAUUGAACCUUCGUCCUCAUGGGUACUAGUCAGAUGUGUUUCCGCUGAGCCAUGAUGGGAACUCCCAGGUAUUCUAACAAUUAAGAGAUCCAAUGAUGCGAUUGCCACCCACAUCCCAACAGCAGGAACUCUAAGGGGAGAGUGCAAAGAAAAUGAUGUAAGUUUCCUCACCCUGGGAUUCCUUGAUCGUCUAAUGAAGGGGUUCCGAGAAACACAAAAGGAGGUCAAAAGAGGAAGAGGCAGAGGUUGUCAGUCUGUCAAUUGAUAACAACCGUCAGUAUUAAAUCUAGCUAUCUAUAGCUGAAAGCAGUGCUCAGUUAAAAAUAAAAUCAGUGUCUAAAGUUUAUCAGUCUAAAACUGGCACUGGCCAAAAAUCAACAGGUCAGCUUAAAUACAAUGAUACCAAGUAUAUUUCCAAGGGCCUCCCAACAAUUCCACUUGGGUAUCUACUACCUACACCCGCAGGGUCACAAUGGACUCUCCUUCUCUCCCAUCCCUGGCUUUCCCAUCUCAAUGGGAAGAGCAAAAUCUACUCAAGCUUAAGAGAAUAGGCACACCGAAAGCCCUGAAUUACCUCCGGUUCAUCCUUACAUUUCCUAUUUCCCUAAACCACGAGCGAGAUCUGAAGGCUCUAUGUGCAAAACAGGUCCACAUUCAUCUACUUCUGUUCCUCGUCCCUGGCAACCCCCCCUCCCCCCACCGUCAAAGCCAUUGCAGCAUCUUUAGCUUGGGUUAUCCCAGUAGCCUCCAAUCUGGUCUCCCUUUUUAUGCUCUGCCUCUCACAAACCACUAUUCUCUCUUUCAUAUCUAAGGAGAACUUAACAAACAAAUGGACAAACAUCAGUGUAUACUCAGCUUAAACCUUCCACCGUUCCCCCACUAGACUGAGAAAAAGAUCCAUAUGCUUUUCAAUGGCGAACAUGGAAGCUUUGUAAUCUAGCCCCGUCCCCAUCUCCCACGUCACCUCCCAGAACUUUCUCCAGCUGCAUGCCUGGUUCCUUGCUGGAAACAUUCUGCCACCAGAUUUUGCACGGUGGCCCUUUCCUGACACUCAGUCUUCAGCUGAAACACGGCCUCUUUAAUGCGGUCCUCGCUGACACCCAAUAUCAAUUCGCCCUCCACUCACGUCGCUGCUGGGCCAUCUUUCACAUCAAUGUUUUAUUUCAUUUACCACACCUGUGGUCAGCAUCUAACCUUCUGAUUUAUUUGUUUAUUUAUUGCUUGGGCCCCCUUAUACAUGAUAAAUGCCACUUACCAGUGGAUGCUCCAGCAGUUAGUUAGACAGUGCACAGCACAGAACAGUGCCACAUAAAUAUCUCUGGAUUAGCAAAUCUCGAAUGUUUAUCCACUAAUCCUAAGGCCCUUCAUGGAAUCCAAUAUACAGCACAAAUGAACCUUUCUACAGAAAAGAAACAAACUCAUGGAUGUGGAGAAUGGACUUGUGGUUGUGGAGGGGGAGGUGGAGGGACGGGGGUGGACUGGGUUUGGGGUUAGUAGAUGCAAACAAUUGCAUUUGGAGUGGAUUAGCGAUGAGAUCCUGUUGUAUUGCACAGGGAACUAUAGCUAGUCACUUGGGAUGGGAUAUGAUGGAGGAUAAUAUGAGAAAAAGUGUGUGUGUGUGUGUGUGUGUGUGAGAUUGGGUCACAUUUCUGUACGGUAGAAACUGACAGACCAAUGUAAAUCAACUAUAAUAGAAAAAAUAAAAACCAAAAAAAAAAAAAAAAAAAAAAAAAA